CACCGCGGUUAUACGAGAGGCCCAAGUUGAUAAACACCGGCGUAAAAUGUGGUUAACAUAAUAUUAUACUAAAGCUAAACAUCUUCAAAGCUGUUAUACCCAUAUGAAGACAGGAAGACCUCCCACGAAAGUGGCUUUAAAUAAUGCUAUUCCACGAAAGCUAGGAAA
rnacentral:rRNA from 4 species